UGUUUGCAAAAAUGUCAUCACCUUUAUCUCAAUGAUCAAGAUCAUUGUAUUGGUUGUGUUCAUUCUAUGAACUCAAAUUCAAUUCAUGAUGCUGAUCAGGAAAAAAGGAAUUGAGAUAUUUGUUGCUGCAAUAAUUAUACAAAGGCCUAUAUUUCACGCUUUUUAAUUACUAAGUUAUUAUUAAAAUAAUGAGUUUUAUUU